rnacentral:rRNA from 1 species
CCAGCAGCUGCGGUAAUUCCAGCUCCAAUAGCGUAUAUUAAAGUUGUUGCAGUUAAAAAGCUCGUAGUUGAAUUUCUGGGACGGGCGCCGGUCCACCUGCUUUGCGGGUGCGUACUUUGGUUUUAUGUAAGAUCCGUCUCAUUCUUGCGCGGUGCCGUGCCUGGCCUUGAUUGGUGUGGGUGCGGUGUUUUACUCCGCGCAUCGAUUACUGUGAACAAAUUAGAGUGUUUAAAGCAGGCUUUUAAGCUUGAAUACAUUAGCAUGGAAUAAUGACAUAGGACUUUGGUUCUAUUCGUUGGUGUGGUACUGAAGUAAUGAUUAAUAGGGAUAGUUGGGGGUAUUCAUAUUUGAUUGUCAGAGGUGAAAUUCUUGGAUUUAUUAAAGAUGAACAACUGCGAAA